UACAGAGGUCUCAAGCGUUGUUCGGAUUCAUUGGGCGUAAAGGGUGCGUAGGCGGCGCGGUAAGUCGGGUGUGAAAUCUUGGAGCUUAACUCCGAAACUGCAUUCGAUACUGCCGUGCUUGAGGACUGGAGAGGAGACUGGAAUUUACGGUGUAGCGGUGAAAUGCGUAGAUAUCGUAAGGAAGACCAGUGCGAAGGCGGCUCACUGGCCCGGUACUGACGCUGAGGCACGAAAGCGUGGGGAGCAAACAGG
rnacentral:rRNA from 1 species